rnacentral:misc_RNA from 1 species
UGAAGAACGUAGCGAAAUGCGAUACUUGGUGUGAAUUGCAGAAUCCCGUGAACCAUCGAGUCUUUGAACGCAAGUUGCGCCCGAAGCCAUUAGGCCGAGGGCACGCCUGCCUGGGCGUCACACGUCGUUGCCCCCCCAUCUACUCCUUCGGGAUUGCGGGGGGCGGAUGAUGGCCUCCCGUGCGCCUCGUCGCGCGGUUGGCCUAAAUGCCAAGUCCUCGGCGACGCACGCCACGACAAUCGGUGGUUGCGAAACCUCGGUUGCCUGUCGUGUGCGGUCGUCGCGCAUCGAGGGCUCGAAAAAAUUGCCGGGCUUCGGCUCGACUUUCAACGCGACCCCAGGUCAGGCGGGGUUACCCGCUGAAUUUAAGCAUAUCAAUAAGCGGAGGA